UGGAUAUCACUUUAAUAUCAAAAUGAUAAAUCCAUUGAAUGGUGAGGAAACUGGCAAGAAGGUUAGUUCUAUGAAUUAUUACGCAUAUCGUUUGAUGAUUCGU